rnacentral:rRNA from 1 species
UGGGGAAUAUUGGACAAUGGGCGCAAGCCUGAUCCAGCGACGCCGCGUGGGGGAUGAAGGCCUUAGGGUCGUAAACCCCUUUCAGCAGGGACGAAAAUGACGGUACCUGCAGAAGAAGCCCCGGCCAACUACGUGCCAGCAGCCGCGGUAAGACGUAGGGGGCGAGCGUUGUCCGGAUUUAUUGGGCGUAAAGAGCUCGUAGGCGGUUGCGUAAGUCGGAUGUGAAAACUCAGGGCUCAACCCUGAGACGCCAUCCGAUACUGCGCUGACUUGAAUCCAGUAGGGGAGUGUGGAAUUCCUGGUGUAGCGGUGAAAUGCGCAGAUAUCAGGAGGAACACCCAUGGCGAAGGCACCACUCUGGGCUGGUAUUGACGCUGAGGAGCGAAAGCAUGGGUAGCGAACAGGAUUAGAUACCCCGGUAGUCCCUGAGCGGGCUGGCAAGGCGCAU